CACCCAGGGCACAACCUGCAGCUCACACUGCACUGCACACCCAGCUACUGGCACUAAAUGUACUCCUCAACAUAGCCCAUCUUGAGGAAAGCCCUAUUUGAGCACAGCUGAGAAGAUCAUACAGUGUCCCAAUUCAAAUGCAUGACUGUGAUCCCUGAAGAAGGGUUUCCACGAAACAGGGUCAAACAGAACAGAAAGCACAUGAGAAUUAUACUGCUGCCUUGUUUCUGCACACAGGACAGAAAAAUAAAGGCAAAUAAAUUUAUCCAAGAAAAAA